AAAUUGAAGAGUUUGAUCAUGGCUCAGAUUGAACGCUGGCGGCAGGCCUAACACAUGCAAGUCGAACGGUAACAGGAAGCAGCUUGCUGUUUCGCUGACGAGUGGCGGACGGGUGAGUAAUGUCUGGGAAACUGCCUGAUGGAGGGGGAUAACUACUGGAAACGGUAGCUAAUACCGCAUAACGUCGCAAGACCAAAGAGGGGGACCUUCGGGCCUCUUGCCAUCGGAUGUGCCCAGAUGGGAUUAGCUUGUUGGUGGGGUAACGGCUCACCAAGGCGACGAUCCCUAGCUGGUCUGAGAGGAUGACCAGCCACACUGGAACUGAGACACGGUCCAGACUCCUACGGGAGGCAGCAGUGGGGAAUAUUGCACAAUGGGCGCAAGCCUGAUGCAGCCAUGCCGCGUGUAUGAAGAAGGCCUUCGGGUUGUAAAGUACUUUCAGCGGGGAGGAAGGGAGUAAAGUUAAUACCUUUACUCAUUGACGUUACCCGCAGAAGAAGCACCGGCUAACUCCGUGCCAGCAGCCGCGGUAAUACGGAGGGUGCAAGCGUUAAUCGGAAUUACUGGGCGUAAAGCGCACGCAGGCGGUUUGUUAAGUCAGAUGUGAAAUCCCCGGGCUCAACCUGGGAACUGCAUCUGAUACUGGCAAGCUUGAGUCUCGUAGAGGGGGGUAGAAUUCCAGGUGUAGCGGUGAAAUGCGUAGAGAUCUGGAGGAAUACCGGUGGCGAAGGCGGCCCCCUGGACGAAGACUGACGCUCAGGUGCGAAAGCGUGGGGAGCAAACAGGAUUAGAUACCCUGGUAGUCCACGCCGUAAACGAUGUCGACUUGGAGGUUGUGCCCUUGAGGCGUGGCUUCCGGAGCUAACGCGUUAAGUCGACCGCCUGGGGAGUACGGCCGCAAGGUUAAAACUCAAAUGAAUUGACGGGGGCCCGCACAAGCGGUGGAGCAUGUGGUUUAAUUCGAUGCAACGCGAAGAACCUUACCUGGUCUUGACAUCCACAGAACCCUGUAGAGAUACGGGGGUGCCUUCGGGAACUGUGAGACAGGUGCUGCAUGGCUGUCGUCAGCUCGUGUUGUGAAAUGUUGGGUUAAGUCCCGCAACGAGCGCAACCCUUAUCCUUUGUUGCCAGCGGUCCGGCCGGGAACUCAAAGGAGACUGCCAGUGAUAAACUGGAGGAAGGUGGGGAUGACGUCAAGUCAUCAUGGCCCUUACGACCAGGGCUACACACGUGCUACAAUGGCGCAUACAAAGAGAAGCGACCUCGCGAGAGCAAGCGGAUCUCAUAAAGUGCGUCGUAGUCCGGAUUGGAGUCUGCAACUCGACUCCAUGAAGUCGGAAUCGCUAGUAAUCGUGGAUCAGAAUGCCACGGUGAAUACGUUCCCGGGCCUUGUACACACCGCCCGUCACACCAUGGGAGUGGGUUGCAAAAGAAGUAGGUAGCUUAACCUUCGGGAGGGCGCUUACCACUUUGUGAUUCAUGACUGGGGUGAAGUCGUAACAAGGUAACCGUAGGGGAACCUGCGGUUGGAUCACCUCCUUACCUUAAAGAAGC
rnacentral:rRNA from 1 species